UUUUUCUCUUUUUCUCCCGCUCCAACCUUUUUUCUACUGCAACCUUCUUUAUAUUCUUAUUGCCAUUUAUCUCAUGAUUUAGCAACAACAAGAAAAGGAGUUUACGAAAGGAAAAGUGUAAUAACUAUCCUAUCCAUCCCCAAAAAAUAAGAGAUAAAGAAGGCCCAAAACCAAUUUGGAGGCACCGACACACAAAUCUCUGCCUUGACUCCAAAUCAGAGAAGACUAUCGAUCCAAGCACCAUAGAGUUGC
rnacentral:lncRNA from 1 species